GACAGAGGUGCCAAGCGUUAGGCGGAAUCACUGGGCUUAAAGCGUGUGUAGGCGGAUCGUUAAGUGCCUUGUGAAAUCCCACGGCUCAACCGUGGAACUGCUUGGCAUACUGGCGGUCUUGAGCCAUCUAGGGGCUACUGGAACAAACGGUGGAGCGGUGAAAUGCGUAGAUAUCUGGAGGAACACCGGUGGCGAAGGCGGCAUCCUGGACCGGCAUUGACGCUGAGGCGCGAAAGCCAGGGGAGCAAACGGG
rnacentral:rRNA from 1 species